rnacentral:misc_RNA from 1 species
UUUCCGUAGGUGAACCUGCGGAAGGGUCAUUAAAGAGAAUAUGCCCUUCGGGGUAGAUCUCCCACCCUUUGUUUAUAUUACCUUUGUUGCUUUGGCAGGCCCGUCUUCGGACCACCGGCUUCGGCUGGUCAGUGCUUGCCAGAGGACCCAAAACUCUUAUUAUUAAUGUCGUCUGAGUACUAUAUAAUAGUUAAAACUUUCAACAACGGAUCUCUUGGUUCUG